rnacentral:lncRNA from 1 species
GUGUCAUUAGGCUCAAUUUACAGAUACGGGAAAGGAGAUUCAGACAACUUAUUAAGUCCUCAAGGCCCACUCCUCCUAAUAGGCACACCCGGGGCUGCCCUAGGCAUGGCUCCCCUUAGAUCCUCCAGUUUCUCUGCUCCAGGGCUCCUUGGCCGGAUAUGAGAGAACAGGCUUGCUGGAAGUUGUCAACAGUGGGAGCUAAGAAGAGAGGAAACACACCCACCCUGGGCUUGAGGGAGAGCUCACAGGGAUGGAGGGUGAAUGGAGCAGAAGGGGAAGAAGACGGGAUCCAGAAAUAUCUCGAGGACCCCUCAACCCCAGGCCUCGAGUCCCCCUUUCUCCUGGGGAGUUGAACUCAGCCGGUAGGAGCUUUGAUCAAGGGCAGGUGACCAUACCGCGUCGACACCAGCAACUACUGUGGAACAGAGGAAGCAGUAUCUCAUCUUGA